rnacentral:tRNA from 1 species
UCCCUGGUGGUCCAGUGGUUAAGAUUCUGCUUCCAACACAGGGGAUAUAGGUUUGAUCCCUACUCAGGGAA